GCCUGGGUAGCUCAGUAGGGUGAGCGCCUGGCUUCAGCUCAGGUCAUGAUCUCACAGUUCGUGAGUUUGAGUCCUACCUUGGGCU
rnacentral:tRNA from 1 species